GUAUUUGGUCGUAGACCCGAAACCAGGUGAUCUACCCUUGGUCAGGUUGAAGUUCAGGUAACACUGAAUGGAGGACCGAACCGACUUACGUUGAAAAGUGAGCGGAUGAACUGAGGGUAGCGGAGAAAUUCCAAUCGAACCUGGAGAUAGCUGGUUCUCUCCGAAAUAGCUUUAGGGCUAGCCUCAAGUGAUGAUUAUUGGAGGUAGAGCACUGUUUGGACGAGGGGCCCCUCUCGGGUUACCGAAUUCAGACAAACUCCGAAUGCCAAUUAAUUUAACUUGGGAGUCAGAACAUGGGUGAUAAGGUCCGUGUUCGAAAGGGAAACAGCCCAGACCACCAGCUAAGGUCCCAAAAUAUAUGUUAAGUGGAAAAGGAUGUGGCGUUGCCCAGACAACUAGGAUGUUGGCUUAGAAGCAGCCAUCAUUUAAAGAGUGCGUAAUAGCUCACUAGUCGAGUGACACUGCGCCGAAAAUGUACCGGGGCUAAACAUAUUACCGAAGCUGUGGAUUGUCCUUUGGACAAUGGUAGGAGAGCGUUCUAAGGGCGUUGAAGCAUGAUCGUAAGGACAUGUGGAGCGCUUAGAAGUGAGAAUGCCGGUGUGAGUA
rnacentral:rRNA from 1 species